UGGUCAUUUUGUCUGAAACUUUCGGACCCCAAUUGAUACUCUCACUUUGACAGCCUCCUUCUUCGCGUCCCCAACCUGACCCAGCUCCUCUCUCCAACCUGACCCCCCGACCUCAGCUCGUUCUCCGACUCAACCCGCGCCACUAGCGUUUGAUUUUCUGUCCGGCGUAGGCCCGCUUUCUUCUCUCUUCUCUUCAUCGUCCUUUUCUUCUAUUUAUUGGGCUUGCCAUAGGGUAGCUCAGAUCGACUACGCCGGAGUUCAGAUUGACUAAGCCGAAGCUCAGUUCGACUUUCCUCCAUCAUUGCCUCCAAAAUCCCCGAUCCACUUUGCAGAUUCCGACGCCUUUGAUUUUUCUUCGAGCUCCCGUCUUGGGAUGGAAGUCUGGGAAGGUAACCGGCCACGGCUGGAGCAAGUGGGCUUGGGUCUCCGGCCACUGCUGGCUCUGUUCGCGCGCUGUUCCGAGCCUACCGCUGGCGACGGUGUGCUCAGAUCACACCUCUCAAUUUCGUGUAUUCUCAUCUUCCGGCUCAUGUCGAUAUGUUGAUGGGAUACCCAAAAAAAGAGGAAACGCACAAUUACCAGGGUCGCACCCAGUUUCGCUUAGCAGGUUAAACAUCACAGCUCCUUGAGAGUGAUUGCAGUGGUUAUGGGGAAUGGAAAGGGGAAUUUUUCCUUAAUAUUCCCAAAAUUAAAUAUGAGGGGCCCUCUAGUAAGAACCCUCUUGCAUACAAAUGGUAUAAUGCAGAGGAGGAGAUUCUAGGGAAGAAAAUGAACGUUGGUAACUCUUUUAUAUUAUUUGAGUUUUCAAGCUGCUAAUGGUUGUUAACUGAAAUUUUUGCCAACAUUAGGAUUGGUUGAGGUUUAGUGUUGCAUUUUGGCACACAUUCCGUGGAACAGGAGCUGAUCCAUUCGGUGCGCCUACAAAAAAUUGGCAUUGGGUGGAUGGAACUUAUAACUCUGUUGCUAUGGCCAAGAGAAGAAUGAAAGCCAACUUUGAGUUCAUAUAUAAGCUUGGAGUCGAUAGAUGGUGUUUCCAUGACAGGGAUAUUGAUCCGGAUGGUAAAACCUUGGAGGGUCAAUAUCCAGGAGUAGCUUGGAAUGAUCAAUUCUUGGCCUCACUGUCAUUUGAUCUUAGUGCCUCCAUGCCUAGAGAUAAAAGGAAUCUGCUGCACUGAACCAAGAGCUCCAAUUAUUGGAACAGCAGUCUGCUUCUAGUGACCGUUUAUCUGCGCUUGUCAAUGAGACAUUGCAGUUAUAUGACUGAAACUCUUUUCACGAGAUGUUCCAGGAGAUGGUUAAAACAUCAUCACAACUUAGGACGAAAACAGCAAAGCUGAAGAAGCGAAACAGAAUAAGACAGAUAAGAUCUACAACCGAUACAAAGAUUCAUCUGUGAUGAAUGAUAGCAAUGGCUUCUCUGGUGCAAAGUUGGAAGAUCUUCAAGAAUUUUUAGACAAUAUGAAAACAAUGUGAACUAGCCAUAUGAUUUCUUUAGUCUUGCAGCGCACCUAAUUCGCACCUUUUUGUGUUAGAUGAAGUGACUGCAGCAAUUGUGAACAAAACUGCAAUAGAAAUUGCUAGGCUAGACUUGUAGAAGGUUAAUUGGGAUUUUAUUUUGUCUAUUUUGUGAACUGUCAAGGAUAAUAAUUUUGGACAGAAUACUCCAAUAUUCAAAUUACUUUUUGUCAAA